AUAGGCAUCACAGGAGUUUUAUUAGCUGGCACUGAUGCCCGCCACCCAGUCUUGGAAUUUCACCGGUGAGGCUCUCGGGAUACUCUGGGUGCAUUAUGAAGAGCUGGCAGAGAGUUCUCUCCUUUGGAUGAGAAAGGGAAACAGCAUGGGGAAGACAGGCGCGGUUUGCAAAGAGCCAGGGAGGAAGGAUAUGCUCCCUGUUCGAAUUACAGAGAACCCAGUGCAGAGUGAAAAGGAGAGGUGGCGUAAAAUGAGGAUGUAAGAAGGGAUGGCCAUCCAUUUUUUUUUUUUAAACUGGAAACUGAAAAUGAAGACUUUCUGCCACAGGAAAGGUCAGAGAUACGUUAGUGAAAGACGAAGAAACUCUGCCUCAGGUAUCUGCAUGGGGAGGAAAAGGUAAAUGCCCAAGAUACGGCAGAGGAAGGAGACGCAAAUCUGGCCCCUGAAUACAUGUUGUAUAAACAGUUAAUAUUUAGCUCCUGCCUACGCCUUUCAUUGCUAUUUUAUAUCAGGACAAGACAUUGGAGUAAAUGCCGCUUCAGUGCACAUGCAGGUCUGCGAGGAAUGUACAGACUUGCUGCAGUUGCUCGGCAGGACUCCAGUAUUUCACGUCUGUCACAAAGCCAGUUCCAAUUUGGGCCGUACUGUAACAACCAUCCGAGUACCAGGCUCCAUGUACUAACUUUCACCUGCGGGCUCGCACAUUCUUACCGGCGAAUUCUAUGACCCCCAUGUUAUAAAUAGAGGAAAUCCUCAGCGUGUCUAACGGAGGACGAUGAGUCAGUGCUAUAAAUGGUAAUCUGAUGGUACUUCUGGUCUCUAAUAACUCUCCACCAUUCAUUUUCUCCCUGUAAAAAAACCUUUAGGUAAGAUGGGGGUCGUUUGUGGACAGACAUCUGGGUAGGUAUGAAAAGUUACCAACUUAAAGCAAUGGCUCUAGUUUAAUUUAGAAAAAGGCACAUUACCACGCUUCAGUGACAGAGAGCGGUGCCGUUUAUAUUAUUUGUCUAUUGUGGUUGCUGGGUUUCAAAUGUGACUCACCCUCAGUUUCCCCUGGAUUUUCAGAGAAGGGGAAGACUCGAUCUUCCCCAUCGAGUCUUCCCCUCUCUGUCUAGAUGUAUCCUGAAGUUGUGUGACGUGACUGUUAGGAUAAAACUGCAGAAAUGUACUUUUGUGGGUUCCGG